UACGUAGGCAGCAAGCGUUGUUCGGAGUUACUGGGCGUAAAGGGUGCGUAGGCGGCUUCUUAAGUCUGGUGUGAAAUCUCCCGGCUCAACUGGGAGGGUGCGCCGGAUACUGAGGGGCUAGAGUGUGGGAGAGGAAAGUGGAAUUCCAGGUGUAGCGGUGAAAUGCGUAGAUAUCUGGAGGAACACCGGUGGUGUAAACGGCUUUCUGGACCAUUACUGACGCUGAUGCACGAAAGCGUGGGUAGCAAACAGG
rnacentral:ncRNA from 2 species